rnacentral:rRNA from 1 species
GCUAAACUCGUGCCAGCAGCAGCGGUAAUACGAGUACCCCAAGCGUUAUCCGGAAUCAUUGGGCGUAAAGGGUGUGUAGGCGGUAUGGUUAGUCUUCUGUCAAAAUCUCGGGCUCAACCCGAGACCUGCGGAGGAAACGGCCAAACUUGAGGGUGCGAGAGGUGAAUGGAACUCAUGGAGUAGGGGUGAAAUCCGUUGAUAUCAUGGGGAACACCGAAAGCGAAGGCAAUUCACUGGCGCAUUUCUGACGCUGAAACACGAAAGCGUGGGUAGCGAACGGGAUUAGAUACCCCGGUAGUCCACGCCCUAAACGAUGAUCACUAGCUUUUCGGAGUAUCAACCCUCUGAGAGGCGAAGCUAACGCGUUAAGUGAUCCGCCUGGGUAGUACGGCCGCAAGGCUAAAACUCAAAGGAAUAGACGGGGACUUGCACAAGCAGUGGAUUAUGCGGUUUAAUUCGAUGUUGAACGAAGAACCUUACCAGGGUUAGAAAUCUAGGUGAACCCCGACAGAAACGUCGGGGGUCCGCAAGGACAGUUAGACAGGUGAUGCAUGGCCGUCGUCAGUUCGUGAUUUGAAUUGUUCCCUUAAGUGGGGUAACGAACGCAACCCUCGUUGCCAGUUACAAGUGUCUGGCGAGACUGCCCCCUCUCCAGUUUUGGAAAUUUCCAAAACUGCAAAACUGGAGAGGGGGAGGAAGGCGAGGAUGACGCCAGGUCAGCAUGUCCCUUGAUACCCUGGGCUACACGCAUAAUACAAUCGCCGCUACAACAGGUUGCGACGGAGUAAUCCUGAGCCAAUCCUAAGAAAAGCGGCGCCAGUUCGGAUAGGGGGCUGCAACUCGACCCCUUGAAGCCGGAAUUGCUAGUAAUCGCGGGUCAGCUAUACCGCGGUGAAUACGUUCUCAAGUCUUGUACUCGGGUCGCCAUGCGAUCGAGUAUGCUAGUUGGUGAGAGUCCAA